rnacentral:rRNA from 1 species
AUGGUGCCGGCGCGCGGAAGCGAAGGGCACCGUGACGCGGGGCAACACGCAUGCGGGAGGCGGCAGGGCGGGCCGGAGUGGCACGCAGGUCGGCUUGCGGCGAGCCGGACGGGGCCGGGCGCUGGGAAGGCCGGAUGCUCGGGAGGCGCAGCUGGACGGAGCCGGACGAAGGUGGCGGCCUUGUGGCAGGGGGCUCGGGCUCCUCCCCUCGUGCGCGCGGGCGCAGGAAGGUACGGCCGCUCGGGGCUGAGCGAGGCAGGGGUGGCUGGCGGUCGCGGGACUGGCUGCAAUCGCGCCACCGCCGUCAGUUUGGCCAGCCGCCUGCGUGCACACGGGCUAAGCUGGCUAGCUAAGCCAGCAUGCACGCAACUGACUCGGUUGACUCUGCUAGCUAGCUUGCUAGGCAUGAGUAUGUGCACGGGGAAUCUCUUGAUUGCAUCUGGCUAG